GAGCUAAGAAGUGGGUUUUUGAAUUGCAAAGACAAGCAAAUCCAACUUUAAUAAUGUUCUUGGCUGCAAACAAGGCUGACUUGGAAGAGAAGAGAAAAGUAGGGACUGAGAAAAGUAGUCCUCACUUAGGAAGCAGAGAUCUAUCAGGGCAAAAAUGGUUAGGAA